GCUGUUUGAUUUGAGUCAUUCUUUUUCAUGAGGCAAGUUUCUCGACAGGCCGUGAGAUGUUUGCUGAUACUCCAAGAGGAUCUUUGGGAGCUCCUUUCGCCUUUGUUUUCCCUUGUUGCAGCUCCAUUUGAAGCCUUUUUCCUGGAUGUGGCUGGGGAUCAGAGCAUGGGUGUCCCGUGCCUGAGCUCUGGAGACCUUGGUUUUGUGGGAUGGCUGGAGAUGUGAUGCCCCAGAUGGAGAAUGCAUUUGAUGCCGUCUCAGAUUAACCAUGGACUACUUGGCAUUUGUCGUGUGGUUCUCAUAUGGUGUGUUCUUGCACAACGUUGAAUUUUGAAAUGUUAAGUGGUUUUAAGAAUUGUUUGAAGGGGGGGGACACACAUUUAGUAGCUGUAGAGCUACUUGCAAGAUCUGUGUUUACAUGUCUUUUACCAUUUUUGGGAUUGCAGUCAAAUGAAUAGCUGCUUUUAAACUUGUAAAUUAGUUUCCUAAUGUCACCUGCAGGCAUUUUUUCUCACCAUUAAAAUUCAAGAGAUAACUUUAGGCCACAGCUUUUGCCUUUAUGUUAGCAGGUUGAGGUU
rnacentral:lncRNA from 1 species